CGAGUUUACAGUCUGUGACUUAUUUAAAUUUUGCGAAUUAUUUUAUUAUAUUUGUUUAUACAGAUAAAAUAUUUUCUAUUUAGGUUAACAGUUAUCCGGACAGAUAAAAUUAAGAUUUUUAUUUUCCGUUUCAGAGUGCCUUGAUUUCGUUCACAGAAAAACCUGAAAGACCUUUGAAAUCUGGAAAAAAUUGCAAUAUUCCCUAUACUCAUCAGUUCUGGCGCUGGGUGGCAACUUCAUCCUCCUGCAUUUCUCCCAUUCCAUGCAGAUUGCUUGGAUGUCGGAAUAUUUUCGCUUUGAAACUGAUAUUAUAUCCUGCGGGUACAUGGCACCGAGAUGAAAGCCAGAAAUGUUACUAGGAACCCGUGCUAGGGAAAUGGUUUUUCGUGAGCAAAUUGCAGAAAGGACUUUCAUCGCUUAUGCUGAAUAUCCACGUAGUUUUUGGAUGACUGUAGAAAUUCAAAAGUUUAGAGUUUAUGUUUGCAGAAAAACGGAAUAUACAAGACGUGCGUCCCAAAAGGGAUGGCUCUACUACUUUUCUCCAACUAAUGAUGGAAAAAAUAAUCCAGAUUUCAUUUUCAAGGACGAGAGAUAUUUAAAUUAUUUUCACGUAUCUUUAGUUUGGGUAUUAAAUUACAGCAGAAAGCACCGGUUUUUCCGACUCUGAACAUUAGUAAUGCGCCUACAUAUUCACUAGUUCCGUAAAUAUCAUGCUUGUAAUGGAAACAUUCAUUCAUUGGAC